UACGUAGGGGGCUAGCGUUGUCCGGAAUCAUUGGGCGUAAAGAGCGUGUAGGCGGUCCGGUAAGUCCGUUGUGAAAGUCAGGGGCUCAACCCUUGAAUGCCGGCGGAUACUGUCGGGCUAGAGUCCGGAAGAGGCGAGUGGAAUUCCCGGUGUAGCGGUGAAAUGCGCAGAUAUCGGGAGGAACACCUAUGGCGAAGGCGGCUCUCUGGGACGGUACUGACGCUGAGACGCGAAAGCGUGGGGAGCGAACAGG
rnacentral:rRNA from 1 species